GACGAACGCUGGCGGCGUGCUUAACACAUGCCAGUCGAACGGAAAGGCCCUGCUUUUGUGGGGUGCUCGAGUGGCGAACGGGUGAGUAACACGUGAGUAACCUGCCCUUUACUUUGGGAUAACUUCAGGAAACUGGGGCUAAUACCGGAUAGGAGCUCCUGCUGCAUGGUGGGGGUUGGAAAGUUUCGGCGGUUGGGGAUGGACUCGCGGCUUAUCAGCUUGUUGGUGGGGUAGUGGCUUACCAAGGCUUUGACGGGUAGCCGGCCUGAGAGGGUGACCGGCCACAUUGGGACUGAGAUACGGCCCAGACUCCUACGGGAGGCAGCAGUGGGGAAUAUUGCACAAUGGGCGGAAGCCUGAUGCAGCAACGCCGCGUGCGGGAUGACGGCCUUCGGGUUGUAAACCGCUUUCGCCUGUGACGAAGCGUGAGUGACGGUAAUGGGUAAAGAAGCACCGGCUAACUACGUG
rnacentral:rRNA from 1 species